ACGCUGGCGGUAUGCUUAACACAUGCAAGUCGAACGGAAACGAAACUAGCUUGCUAGUAGGCGUCGAGUGGCGGACGGGUGAGUAACGCGUAGGAAUCUGCCUGAUAGUGGGGGAUAGCCCGAAGAAAUUCGGAUUAAUACCGCAUAAUCUAUUCGUAGUAAAGUGGGGGACUUUCGAGCCUCACGCUAUCAGAUGAGCCUGCGUAAGAUUAGCUUGUUGGUAGGGUAAAAGCCUACCAAGGCAACGAUCUUUAGCUGGUCUGAGAGGAUGAUCAGCCACAUCGGGACUGAGACACGGCCCGAACUCCUACGGGAGGCAGCAGUGGGGAAUAUUGGACAAUGGGGGCAACCCUGAUCCAGCAAUACCGCGUGUGUGAAGAAGGCCUGAGGGUUGUAAAGCACUUUCAAUUGUGAAGAAAAGUUAACGGUUAAUAACCGUUGACCUUGACGUUAACUUUAUAAGAAGCACCGGCUAACUCCGUGCCAGCAGCCGCGGUAAUACGGAGGGUGCAAGCGUUAAUCGGAAUUACUGGGCGUAAAGCGUGCGUAGGCGGUUUAUUAAGUCAGAUGUGAAAGCCCCGGGCUUAACCUGGGAACUGCAUUUGAAACUGGUCAACUAGAGUAUGGUAGAGGAAAGUGGAAUUUCUGGUGUAGCGGUGAAAUGCGUAGAUAUCAGAAGGAACAUCAAUGGGCGAAGGCAGCUUUCUGGACCAAUACUGACGCUGAGGUACGAAAGCGUGGGUAGCAAACAGGAUUAGAUACCCUGGUAGUCCACGCCGUAAACGAUGAUAACUAGCCGUUGGGGGGAUUUACCCCUUAGUGGCGAAGCUAACGCGUUAAGUUAUCCGCCUGGGGAGUACGGCCGCAGGCUAAACUAAAUGAUGCG
rnacentral:rRNA from 1 species